rnacentral:rRNA from 1 species
UACGUAGGUGGCAAGCGUUGUCCGGAAUUAUUGGGCGUAAAGCGCGCGCAGGCGGCCUCUUAAGUCUGAUGUGAAAGCCCCCGGCUCAACCGGGGGGGCAGCUUGGAAACUGGGAGGCUUGAGUAUAGGAGAGAAGAGUGGAAUUCCACGUGUAGCGGUGAAAUGCGUAGAGAUGUGGAGGAACACCAGUGGCGAAGGCGACUCUUUGGCCUAUAACUGACGCUGAGGCGCGAAAGCGUGGGGAGCAAACAGG